GAUGAACGCUAGCUACAGGCUUAACACAUGCAAGUCGAGGGGUAGCAGGGUAGCAAUACCGCUGACGACCGGCGCACGGGUGAGUAACACGUAUCCAACCUACCAUUCACACGGGGAUAGCCUUUCGAAAGAAAGAUUAAUACCCGAUAGUAUAGCGAGAGGGCAUCCUUUUGCUAUUAAAGAAUUUCGGUGUUUGAUGGGGAUGCGUUCCCUUAGAUUGUUGGUGAGGUAACGGCUCACCAAGUCUUCGAUGGAUAGGGGUUCUGAGAGGAAGGUCCCCCACAUUGGAACUGAGACACGGUCCAAACUCCUACGGGAGGCAGCAGUGAGGAAUAUUGGUCAAUGGACGAGAGUCUGAACCAGCCAAGUAGCGUGAAGGAUGAAGGCCCUAUGGGUCGUAAACUUCUUUUAUAGGGGAAUAAAGUGCGGAACGUGUUCCGCUUUGUAUGUACCCUACGAAUAAGGAUCGGCUAACUCCGUGCCAGCAGCCGCGGUAA
rnacentral:rRNA from 1 species